rnacentral:rRNA from 1 species
UACGUAGGCAGCGAGCGUUGUUCGGAGUUACUGGGCGUAAAGGGUGUGCAGGCGGCCUUCUAAGUUUGGUGUGAAAUCUCCCGGCUCAACUGGGAGGGUGCGCCGAAAACUGGGAGGCUUGGAGUGCGGGAGAGGAGAGUGGAAUUCCUGGUGUAGCGGUGAAGUGCGUAGAUAUGCGGAGGAACACCGAUGGCGAAGGCAGCCCCCUGGGUCAAAACUGACGCUCAUGCACGAAAGCGUGGGGAGCAAACAGG